UACCAAAAAGGAUACAAUGAGGCC
rnacentral:piRNA from 1 species